rnacentral:lncRNA from 1 species
AUGGAGCAUCAUAACAGAGAGACCAUCAUAUCUCGUAUUGGACACUUGAUCUUCCGAUUAUUCAUUCACUGUGGCCAAGGUGAACCAGUGGAACAUGAAAUUCACCUUUCUGUGGAGGAAACCACACCUGCACGCCUUAAUCAAAGCUCUGUCAGGACGUGGAUUUUGGAGGAUGAGACCACAUGAUGUACAAGUGGUAUCACUUCAGCCGGAUGUCCGUGGCGCUUUUUUAAAGGACAUGUAAAACACAAAAAGCUGCACCAUUUUGGACAAACCUUUGGACAAAUUCUUAGGACAAAAUUAUUGGUUCACAGUUGGGAUACUUAUGCAGGCCCUACAUGGGACUAUUGUUUUGGUAUAGGGAAAGUCAAGUUUAUCCCAUUGCAAGGGCACCACAUUAACUUUCCUCCACUAAAGCAGCAUCUAUUAAAAAACCUACCCUAAACAGCAGCAUAUUUUACAGGACACCAAUUUGGACACAGUCAAGCAGGGGCAAAA